UGAGAAUGGCUUCAGGGACUCUGUUAUC
rnacentral:piRNA from 2 species